rnacentral:lncRNA from 1 species
AGCACUCAACACUUCAUGGAAUUUCCUGCUUAUGGUUUCAUGUGCAAUACUAAGUAAAACCAAAAAAAUAGGAAAUAUAGCUUAUGUGUAUGAAAUAGUAAAAGAAAUAACAGAAACUAAUUUUAUUGAUAAGUUAAGAUAAUUUCUAUGAGUUAUUUUGAUUACAUCAAUUUAUUAUUAGAUAAAAAUAACAUUCAGAUAUUUUAUAAUAGUUUCAGUAAAAUAAAGUUUUGUUUAAUAAAAAAUUUAAAUAUCAUUAUAAUUUUAGUAAAACUAUGCUGUGUUAUAAUUAAAAUAGAUGAAAUAUGCCUUAUGUAUGUCGUAGGUUUUAUAUAGAUGUGCUCAGGAAUUAUUAUUAGGAAUCAAGCAUGCCUUAGGUAGAGUGCCUUACGUAUUAUCCUAGUACCAAAAUGUCUUGCGUACGUUUUACAGCAAAACAAACUUAAGUUAUUUUGUAAUUGUAAAUAAAUGUAACAAAAAUUUUAAGCCAAUAACUAGAAAAAAUUGGUUUUUGGUUUUUGUUUACAAAUGGAUAGUUAUUCUAAAAACUAGUUUCCGUAAAUGUUAGGAAAACUAUUUCUCAAAAAGCUUGAUUGGACA